GUGAGAAGUGUCUGUUUUCUCAUCUUUGUAUAGGUGUCCCAAGGGAGGUGUAUAGAUUGUGGAGGAAUGCAUAAGCCAAUAAUAUGGGUUGAUGAUAUAUACCUAUUAUUCACUGCCUAUAGAGAAGCACCUCCUUGAAGUGUCACAUAUGACGUAUGCAGUA